GGCUUCCUGUUGGGAGUAAUCCACGUGUUUGCCAGUGCGAGUUCGUGUUGUAAAUAUGUGGAAAUGUGACGUGUUUGGUUAAUUAAUUGUAAUUAGUUAAUAGAAAAGAUUUUAUACGAUAACUUCUAGAAAAUUUUAAGUAUUAAUUUAUAUACUAAACGAUUUCGAGGAAAGAUAAUGCCUUAUUUCGUCCGGUCUUCGCCUAGAUCGGCCAUCGUCGGGAUCCUCCGUUGACGUGACAACUAUUCCGUGUUCUGAUCCCGUUUUGGAUAACCGAAAGAGGCAUUUAAGCUUCCGAUGCUCCUCUUUUCCAACCGAAAUCGAACUACCUGGAAAUUAAACUUCACGUUUCUUGAAAAUGUUAUAAAAGCCGUGUUUGGGCUGAAGGCGAGGAAGCUCAUCAGCAAAGUUGGUGUUGUUGCGGAUUGUACACAUCGAGAGUUAUAUUUGUAGGUACUUUACGGAAAAGUCGAGUAUUUCAUCAAUUAAAAUCCAUGUAAAUCGUAUUAAGAAACAAAUAAAACCAUGAAUAUUUUAAUGAAAAUGUUGUGUAUCCUAAACUGUGCCUCACCUUCUACAAUUACCGAUUGGCCGUAUUUACUUACUUAAAAAUCUACUCACGAAGGUCCUCGACGUGUUCUCUAUUAAACUGUUUCUAAUUUUACGAUCCUCUUAUUAGUCUCUACUAACUUCUGCCUACCGAUUAAUCGGUACCUAAAGCCAGUGAUCGAGAAAAGAGCGUGACUAUAAAACCCUUAAAAUUCGAUUAUAAAUCAAAAAUUAUGGACGAAACCCCUUCAAAAUUGGAGAUUCCCUUCCCCCUCGGUAACGAUGAUUCGCCAAGGAUCUUAGUAAAAUCAUAGUCCAGAAAACGUAUUCAAAUUGGUCGAUUGUAGUCGGAGAGUCGGCAUUAUGCCAAUCGAUUAUAGUUUAUCGGUU